rnacentral:rRNA from 1 species
CGAAGAACCUUACCUGGUCUUGACAUAGUAAGAACUUUCCAGAGAUGGAUUGGUGCCUUCGGGAACUUACAUACAGGUGCUGCAUGGCUGUCGUCAGCUCGUGUCGUGAGAUGUUGGGUUAAGUCCCGCAACGAGCGCAACCCUUUUCCUUAUUUGCCAGCGGGUUAAGCCGGGAACUUUAAGGAUACUGCCAGUGACAAACUGGAGGAAGGCGGGGACGACGUCAAGUCAUCAUGGCCCUUACGACCAGGGCUACACACGUGCUACAAUGGUCGGUACAAAGGGUUGCUACCUAGCGAUAGGAUGCUAAUCUCAAAAAGCCGAUCGUAGUCCGGAUUGGAGUCUGCAACUCGACUCCACGAAGUCGGAAUCGCUAGUAAUCGCGGAUCAGAAUGCCGCGGUGAAUACGUUCCCGGGCCUUGUACACACCGCCCGUCACACCAUGGGAGUUUGUUGCACCAGAAGUAGGUAGUCUAACCGCAAGGAGGACGCUUACCACGGUGUGGCCGAUGACUGGGGUGAAGUCGUAACAAGGUAGGCGUAGAUGA